rnacentral:misc_RNA from 1 species
AACUUUCGGCAACGGAUCUCUUGGCUCUCGCAUCGAUGAAGAACGCAGCGAAAUGCGAUACGUAAUGUGAAUUGCAGAAUGCAGUGAAUCAUCGAAUCUUUGAACGCACCUUGCGCCCCUUGGUAUUCCGAGGGGCACACCCGUUUGAGUGUCGUGAAAAUCUCAACCUCCUCGGUUUCUUCUGGACACCGAAGGAGCCUUGUACUUUGGGGUCCUUUGCUUGCAUCUCUCGCCAGCUCCUCUCAAAUGAAUUAGCGGGGUCCUCUUUGCCGAUCCUCGACGUGUGAUAAGAUGUUUCCAUGUCUUGGUUUCUGGCUCUGUUGCUUUUGGGACCCGCUUCUAACCGUCUCGACCUGAGACAACGCUCGAGCGUGUCGAACGCUCUUGAACCCACGAACCCUUGACCUCAAAUCGGGUUAGACUACCCGCUGAACUUAAGCAUAUCAAUAAGCGGAGGCU